CUCUGUGACUCCUACGGGAGGCAGCAGUGGGAAUAUUGCACAAUGGGGGAAACCCUGAUGCAGCCAUGCCGCGUGUGUGAAGAAGGCCUUCGGGUUGUAAAGCACUUUCAGUAGGGAGGAAGGUAGUGUAGUUAACACCUGCAUUAUUUGACGUUACCUACAGAAGAAGCACCGGCUAACUCCGUGCCAGCAGCCGCGGUAAUACGGAGGGUGCGAGCGUUAAUCGGAAUUACUGGGCGUAAAGCGCAUGCAGGCGGCCUGUUAAGUCAGAUGUGAAAGCCCCGGGGCUUAACCUCGGAAUUGCAUUUGAAACUGGCAGGCUAGAGUCUUGUAGAGGGGGUAGAAUUUCAGGUGUAGCGGUGAAAUGCGUAGAGAUCUGAAGGAAUACCAGUGGCGAAGGCGGCCCCCUGGACAAAGACUGACGCUCAGAUGCGAAAGCGUGGGGAGCAAACAGGAUUAGAUACCCUGGUAG
rnacentral:rRNA from 1 species